UCCCUCUAGUACCUAUAUGCUUUCUCCAGCAUAUAUGUACCGGCUCCUGUUCUUCCUGCUCCCAGGAGCUCUCCUGGUUUUGUGCUGGUCUCCCAUGAAGGGGGUUCAGGUCUUGAACCUACAAGAUCUAUAAUUUGCACCUCCUGUGGUGAAUUUGUUUGACAAGACCUGCAGAAAGAAUCCAGGUUCCUGUCAAUCCAAAC